UUCAGCAAGUGUCCAGUUAUCUCAGAAAUAAUUAUUAACUAUUAUGGACUUUAAUUCAAUUUUGAGUUAACCUUUGGCAGUCUGAUAUUUAAUGAGUCAUAAUAUGGUACAUUUCACAUUGUGACCAAUGUAGUGUUAUCCAUAUAUUUAGUGCAAAACCAGAAACACUGAAUACUGAAAUAUUUACUUAUAAAUAAAUAAAUAAUAAAACAUGAAGCAUAAAAAAUACCUUUUUUUACAUUUACUUUUAUUCAUUUGGCAGAUUUGACUCAUUUUAAUUUAGUUUAACUUGUACUAAAAUAACUAAAACUGGAAUAAAAAUUAAUAAAAACUAUAUAGACGUUUUUUAAAAGAAAUACUAAAAAUUAGCAUAGGUCAGUUAGUAUGGUGUGGGAGUGGCACAGGUUAGCAUUGGUUAGUAUGGUGUGGGAGUGGCACAGGUUAGCAAAGGUCAGUUAGUAUGGUGUGGGAGUGGCAUACGUUAGCAUAGGUUAGUUAGUAUGGUGUGGGAGUGGCACAGGUUAGCAUAGGUCAGUUAGUAUGGUGUGGGAGUGGCAUACGUUAGCAUAGGUUAGUUAGUAUGGUGUGGGAGUGGCACAGGUUAGCAUAGGUCAGUUAAUAUGGUGUGGGAGUGGCACAGGUUAGCAUAUGUCAGUUAGCAUAGUGUGGGAGUGGCAUAGGUUAGCAUAGGUUAGUUAGUAUGGUGUGGGAGUGGCAUAGGUUAGCAUAGGUUAGUUAGUAUGGUGUGGGAGUGGCAUAGGUUAGCAUAGGUCAGUUAGCAUAGUGUGGGAGUGGCAUAGGUUAGUUAGUAUGGUUUGGGAGUGGCACAGGUUAGUUAAUUUGACAUUUGAUAUUCAACAGUGUUUUGAUCUGCCUGCAUCGACACCAUUGUAUGCGAACUGAACUGAGCUGGAUGAUGACAUCACUGUUUACUCCAGUGCUGACAUAGAUAAAUUAACUAAAUUAAUAACUAUUGAUUCUUACGAUGGAAUGAAUCAAUACUGAAUUUACUUAAGCUGGACAAUGACACCAUUUUCUUUAAGAGCUGCUGUGCAGCCAAAAUUAUAUACCAAUAAUUAUCACUGUAAAGCUGCUUUGACACAAUCUGCAUUGUAAAAAGCGCUAUAUAAAUAAAGGUGACUUGACUUGACUUAAUAUAGUGUGGAAGUGGCAUAGGUUAGCAUAGGUUAGUUAGUAUGGUGUGGAAGUGGCAUAGGUUAGCAUAGGUUAGUUAGUAUGGUGUGGGAGUGGCAUAGGUUAGCAUAAGUCAGUUAGUAUGGUGUGGAAGAGGCAUAGGUUAGUAUGGUGUGGGAGAGGCAUAGUUUAGCAUAGAUUAGUUAGUAUAGUGUGGGAGUGGCAGAGGUUAGCAUAGGUCAGUUAGUAUGGUGUGGGAGUGGCACAGGUUAACAUAGGUUAGUUAGUAUAUUGUGGGAGUGGCGGCACAGGUUAGCAUAGGUUAGUAUAGUGUGGAAGUGGCAUAGGUUAGCAUAGGUCAGUUAGUAUGGUGUGGGAGUGGCAUAGAUUAGCAUAGGUUAGUUAGUAUGGUGUGGCAGUGGCAGAGGUUAGCAUAGGUUAGUUAGUAUGGUGUGGGAGUGGCAUAGGUUAGCAUAGGUCAGUUACUAUGGUGUGGAAGAGGCAUAGGUUAGUAUGGUGUGGGAGAGGCAUAGUUUAGCAUAGAUUAGUUAGUAUAGUGUGGGAGUGGCAGAGGUUAGCAUAGGUCAGUUAGUAUGGUGUGGGAGUGGCACAGGUUAACAUAGGUUAGUUAGUAUAUUGUGGGAGUGGCGGCACAGGUUAGCAUAGGUUAGUAUAGUGUGGAAGUGGCAUAGGUUAGCAUAGGUCAGUUAGUAUGGUGUGGGAGUGGCAUAGAUUAGCAUAGGUUAGUAUGGUGUGGGAGAGGCAUAGUUUAGCAUAGAUUAGUUAGUAUAGUGUGGGAGUGGCAGAGGUUAGCAUAGGUCAGUUAGUAUGGUGUGGGAGUGGCACAGGUUAACAUAGGUUAGUUAGUAUAUUGUGGGAGUGGCGGCACAGGUUAGCAUAGGUUAGUAUAGUGUGGAAGUGGCAUAGGUUAGCAUAGGUCAGUUAGUAUGGUGUGGGAGUGGCAUAGAUUAGCAUAGGUUAGUUAGUAUGGUGUGGCAGUGGCAGAGGUUAGCAUAGGUUAGUUAGUAUGGUGUGGGAGUGGCAUAGGUUAGCAUAGGUCAGUUACUAUGGUGUGGAAGAGGCAUAGGUUAGUAUGGUGUGGGAGAGGCAUAGUUUAGCAUAGAUUAGUUAGUAUAGUGUGGGAGUGGCAGAGGUUAGCAUAGGUCAGUUAGUAUGGUGUGGGAGUGGCACAGGUUAACAUAGGUUAGUUAGUAUAUUGUGGGAGUGGCGGCACAGGUUAGCAUAGGUUAGUAUAGUGUGGAAGUGGCAUAGGUUAGCAUAGGUCAGUUAGUAUGGUGUGGGAGUGGCAUAGAUUAGCAUAGGUUAGUAUGGUGUGGGAGAGGCAUAGUUUAGCAUAGAUUAGUUAGUAUAGUGUGGGAGUGGCAGAGGUUAGCAUAGGUCAGUUAGUAUGGUGUGGGAGUGGCACAGGUUAACAUAGGUUAGUUAGUAUAUUGUGGGAGUGGCGGCACAGGUUAGCAUAGGUUAGUAUAGUGUGGAAGUGGCAUAGGUUAGCAUAGGUCAGUUAGUAUGGUGUGGGAGUGGCAUAGAUUAGCAUAGGUUAGUUAGUAUGGUGUGGCAGUGGCAGAGGUUAGCAUAGGUUAGUUAGUAUGGUGUGGGAGUGGCAUAGGUUAGUUAGUAUGGUGUGGGAGUGGCGGCACAGGUUAGUUAGUAUGGUGUGGGAGUGGCACAGGUUAGCAUAGGUUAGUUAGUAUGGUGUGGGAGUGGCGGCACAGGUUAGUUAGUAUGGUGUGGGAGUGGCACAGGUUAGCAUAGAUUAGUUAGUAUGGUGUGGGAGUGGCACAGGUUAGCAUAGGUUAGUUAGUAUAGUGUGGGAGAGGCAUAGAUUAGCAUAGGUUAGUUAGUAUGGUGUGGCAGUGGCAGAGGUUAGCAUAGGUUAGUUAGUAUAGUGUGGGAGUGGCGGCACAUACUAACUGUGUGGCAUAGGUUAGUUAGUAUAGUAUGGGAGAGGCAUAGAUUAGCAUAGGUUAGUUAGUAUGGUGUGGCAGUGGCAGAGGUUAAUUGUCACAACGAGCGAGAAAGGUUGAAAUGGAGCCGCUAAAUCUCCAACCUCUGGAGAAUCACCAGUUUUAAAAAAACACCGAACAGAGGAGGGUCUGCUGGCAAAAAGAAAACACAACAGAGCUUGUAAUAAAACAAGAAUCAACAUUAGCUUUUUGAGAACUGAGGGAUUUCAAAAUGUCUGCCGUUUACGCAGAGUAAUGUAUUUUAUUGAACAGAUAAUUUCUCUAACAGAGUUCAUUGUAAAGCAUUAUCUAUUGUGAAGAGGUCAUUUCAUUAUGGGCUGUUUUUCAAGGAAGUACUGUGUCUAUUAAUGGCUAUAGCUACAGUAACGUCUUAAGCUAGUCAUCUAAACCGGUUAUACAUCUUAAGCCUAGUAGUGAAUGUUUUAUGAGUAGGUUAACCAUAUUCAUCCGCAGUC